rnacentral:rRNA from 1 species
UACGUAGGGUCCGAGCGUUGUCCGGAAUUACUGGGCGUAAAGAGCUCGUAGGUGGUUUGUCGCGUUGUUCGUGAAAACUCACAGCUUAACUGGGGGCGUGCGGGCGAUACGGGCAGGCUGGAGUACUGCAGGGGAGACUGGAAUUCCUGGUGUAGCGGUGGAAUGCGCAGAUAUCAGGAGGAACACCGGUGGCGAAGGCGGGUCUCUGGGCAGUAACUGACGCUGAGGAGCGAAAGCGUGGGGAGCGAACAGG